rnacentral:rRNA from 1 species
CUACGUGCCAGCAGCCGCGGUAAUACGGGGGGUGCGAGCGUUAAUCGGAAUAACUGGGCGUAAAGGGCACGCAGGCGGUGACUUAAGUGAGAUGUGAAAGCCCCGGGCUUAACCUGGGAAUUGCAUUUCAUACUGGGUCGCUAGAGUACUUUAGGGAGGGGUAGAAUUCCACGUGUAGCGGUGAAAUGCGUAGAGAUGUGGAGGAAUACCGAAGGCGAAGGCAGCCCCUUGGGAAUGUACUGACGCUCAUGUGCGAAAGCGUGGGGAGCAAACAGGAUUAGAUACCCUGGUAGUCCACGCUGUAAACGAUGUCGAUUUGGGGGUUGGGCUUUAAGCUUGGCGCCCGUAGCUAACGUGAUAAAUCGACCGCCUGGGGAGUACGGCCGCAAGGUUAAAACUCAAAUGAAUUGACGGGGGCCCGCACAAGCGGUGGAGCAUGUGGUUUAAUUCGAUGCAACGCGAAGAACCUUACC